rnacentral:tRNA from 1 species
UCCCUGGUGGCUCAAGAGAGUAAAGAAUCUGCCUGCAGUGCAGAAGACCUGGGUUCGAUCCCUGGAUAGGGAA